GGAUAAAAAAGAUACCAGAGAAUGUGUAGUUUCAAAGUUGAGUUCUACUUGGAAAAUUUAUGCUAUAAAAUACAACAAUUUUUCAGAAAUUUCUACCCACUGUCUCCGAUAAAUGGGCACAAUUACAGAAACUUCGAAGAGGAGACAUGAAACUGCCAAAAUAAUGUUCUAAUUAGAAAGAUAGGUUUCUACUUACAGUUUGAACAUAUGUUGGACCUAGCUCUUGCUCUCACAUCCUCUAACAAGAGACAUGCGCGUAGAUGGAAAAGUCGCAGAAUCAUCUUCAUCAAUCUUAUUGGUCAUACUAGAUACCACAUGCUUUUAUCAAGAAAGUUGGGUUGACAUUAAAGUCUGGAU